CUGUUACACCUUGAAAUGCCAGUGCAACAGGCACUCCUAACUGCUUAGAGUCAUGUGUAAAGCUCAUAUAGGGGAAAGAGAGCAAGCCUUGUUUCCUGUAGAGCAUUGUGGCUGGAGGUUGGGAGCCCUUGGGGGUCUACAAGAGCAGAGUUGUUUUCAGAGUAUGCUGUACUGAGGGUCCUGUUGAUCACAGCGGUCGUCAAGAUUCCUGCCAAGAUGAGAACAUAAUGAGAUAGCUGAGCACAGUAAUUCUGUGACUCAAGGCUGGAAACAGAAAAUGGAGGAAAGAAUCAGGGAAGUGGAAAAGAACCAAAGAUUUUAUUAUUUGGGUAAGGUGGCCUGAAAUUUUUACUUUAAAACAACUAGUAAUGUUUAAUGCUUGCUUUAAUUAUUUAUUUAAUCAGUUUGAAGGAGCAGUCUUGAGUAGAAUAUCCUGCCACUGAAGUAGACUUGAUAUGAGCUCAGAGGCUCACCAUGGGAGGUUAGUUUGUUGUUCUCUUCUGUGGCCUUGUGCUGGGCUCGAUACAACCAAAUGACAGCUAUGGGGUG
rnacentral:lncRNA from 1 species